CACGUAGGGGGCAAGCGUUGUCCGGAUUUAUUGGGCGUAAAGAGCUCGUAGGUGGUUCCGUAAGUCAGGUGUGAAACCUCCAGGCUCAACCUGGAGACGCCACUUGAUACUGCGGUGACUGGAGUCCGGUAGGGGAGCGUGGAAUUCCUGGUGUAGCGGUGAAAUGCGCAGAUAUCAGGAAGAACACCAAUGGCGAAGGCAGCUCUCUGGGACGGUACUGACGCUGAGACGCGAAAGCGUGGGGAGCGAACAGG
rnacentral:rRNA from 1 species